rnacentral:rRNA from 1 species
GAUGAACGCUGGCGGCGUGCCUAAUACACGUAAGUCGAGCGAACAGACGAGGAGCUUGCUCCUUUGACGUUAGCGGCGGAAGGCUGAGUAACACGAGGGUAACCUACCUAUAAGACUGGGAUAACUUCGGGAAACCGGAGCUAUUACCGGAUCAUAUUUCGAACCGCAUGGUUCUAUAGUGAAAGAUGGCUCUGCUAUCACUUAUAGAUGGACCUGCGCCGCAUUAUCUAGUUGGUAAGGUAACGGCUUACCAAGGCAACGAUACGUAGCCGACCUGAGAGGGUGAUCGGCCACACGGUAACUGGGACACGGUCCAGACUCCUACGGGAGGCAGCAGUAGGGAAUCGUCCGCAAAGGGCGAAAGCCCGACGGAGCAACGCCGCGUGAGUGAUGAAGGUCUUCGGAUCGUAAAACUCUCUUAUUCGGGAAGACCAAACGUGUAAGUAACUGUGCACAUCUUGACGGUACCUAAUCAGAAGGCCACGGCUAACUACGUG